UACCAGCACCCCGAGUGGUCGGGACGAUUAUUGGGCCUAAAGCAUCCGUAGCCGGUCAUGCAAGUCCUCCGUUAAAUCCACCUGCUUAACAGAUGGGCUGCGGAGGAUACUACAAGGCUAGGAGGCGGAGGAGGCAAGCGGUACUCAGUGGGUAGGGGUAAAAUCCUCUGAUCCAUUGAAGACCACCAGUGGCGAAGGCGGCUUGCCAGAACGCGCUCGACGGUGAGGGAUGAAAGCUGGGGGAGCAAACCGG
rnacentral:rRNA from 1 species